rnacentral:misc_RNA from 1 species
GAAAUGCGAUAAGUAAUGUGAAUUGCAGAAUUCAGUGAAUCAUCGAAUCUUUGAACGCACAUUGCGCCCGCCAGUAUUCUGGCGGGCAUGCCUGUUCGAGCGUCAUUUCAACCAUCAAGCCCCCGGCUUGUGUUGGGGACCUGCGGCUGCCGCAGGCCCUGAAAAGCAGUGGCGGGCUCGCUGUCACACCGAGCGUAGUAGCGAUAUUCGCUCCGGGCGUCGGCGGCGGGCACCGGCCGUGAAACCCCCCCCCCCAUUUCUCAAGGUUGACCUCGGAUCAGGUAGGAAUACCCGCUGAACUUAA